UUUUUUUUUUUUUUUCCCCUUUUGGCAAAAUCCUUUAUGAAGCCCAUGACAUUUUGGAGUUUUGCUGUUGAGCCCUCCAACUGGUAGUAUGUUCUAUUAGUUCCUUGAACUAUUUAAUCUGGUAUUAUUGAGUACUAAUUUAAUUGCAACAGAUACAAUAUUGGGUAUUAUUAUAGCAAAUGCAUUACAGAUUGUAAACAUCACUGUUGUACCCUGAACGUACGAAUAGUUUAUUGCCUGAUAUUAGAUCCUUGGCUUUUCUUAAUGGCAAUUCUGCUUUUGGGUCUAUAUUAUCUCUUUUUUAUGUGAAAAUAGUACUAAAUAGCACCAAAUUGA
rnacentral:misc_RNA from 1 species